rnacentral:rRNA from 1 species
GACGAACGCUGGCGGCGUGCUUAACACAUGCAAGUCGAACGGUAAGGCCCUUCGGGGUACACGAGUGGCGAACGGGUGAGUAACACGUGGGUGAUCUGCCCUGCACUUCGGGAUAAGCCUGGGAAACUGGGUCUAAUACCGGAUAGGACCAUGGACUUCACGGUUUGUGGUGGAAAGCUUUUGCGGUGUGGGAUGGGCCCGCGGCCUAUCAGCUUGUUGGUGGGGUAAUGGCCUACCAAGGCGACGACGGGUAGCCGGCCUGAGAGGGUGUCCGGCCACACUGGGACUGAGAUACGGCCCAGACUCCUACGGGAGGCAGCAGUGGGGAAUAUUGCACAAUGGGCGCAAGCCUGAUGCAGCGACGCCGCGUGAGGGAUGACGGCCUCGGGUUGUUAACC